CCUGACUGCUAUCGGAUUGAUACUAAGCCAUGCGAGUCUUUGCAGUAAUGCAAGGCAUACGGCUCAGUAACACGUAGUCAACUUACCCUAUGGACGAGGAUAAUCUCGGGAAACUGAGCAUAAUACUCGAUAGAUCAUAAUGCCUGGAAUGGUUUAUGGUUGAAAUGAUUCGUCGCCAUAGGAUGGGACUGCGGCCUAUCAGCUUGUUGGUGAGGUAAUGGCCCACCAAGGCGAUUACAGGUACGGGCUCUGAGAGGAGAAGCCCGGAGAUGGGUACUGAGACAAGGACCCAGGCCCUAUGGGGCGCAGCAGGCGAGAAAACUUUGCAAUGUGCGAAAGCACGACAAGGUUAAUCCGAGUGAUUUCUGCUAAAGAAAUCUUUUGCAAGUCAUAAAACCACUAGUGAAUAAGGGGUGGGCAAGUUCUGGUGUCAGCCGCCGCGGUAAAACCAGCACCUCAAGUGGUCAGGAGGAUUAUUGGGCCUAAAGCAUCCGUAGCCGGCUCUGUAAGUUUUCGGUUAAAUCCAUGUGCUCAACAUAUGGGCUGCCGAAAAUACUGCAUAGCUAGGGAGUGGGAGAGGUAGACGGUACUCGGUAGGAAGGGGUAAAAUCCUUUGAUCUAUCGAUGACCACCUGUGGCGAAGGCGGUCUACCAGAACACGUUCGACGGUGAGGGAUGAAAGCUGGGGGAGCAAACCGGAUUAGAUACCCGGGUAGUCCCAGCUGUAAACGAUGCAGACUCGAUGAUGCAUUGGCAUAUAGCCAGUGCAGUGUCGCAGGGAAGCCGUUAAGUCUGCCGCCUGGGAAGUACGUACGCAAGUAUGAAACUUAAAGGAAUUGGCGGGGGAGCACCACNAAGGGGUGAAGCCUGCGGUUC
rnacentral:rRNA from 1 species